CUGAUCCGAAUCCCUGUGCGUGCACUGGUCUGAAAGCAGUGACUCAGUGCCGAGUGUAGCGCUCCGUCUCUUUUCAGACCAGAUGGGUCACCGGCUGUUGAAAAAGAAUCCAAACCUCUGAAAAGGAAAUACAUGUACAUGGUUGAAAACUCAAAAGGCAGCAAAAGUUAUACAGUGACAAGUUGUGUGUUUUCCCUUUCCUUGAAGACUUAGAGCUCUGUGAGAGUGGGGCUCAAUUCCUGUCCCCAGGCUCUGCCCCAGCAUCCAGGACAGGGCCCGUGCAAAGAGCAGACAGGUCCAAAGCUGCCUAGUUGCAGGCUGACAAGCAGGGCAGCCUGUUGGCCCUCCCCAGUCGCAGGCUCCCUGAGCCGAGGGGAGGAGGCUGCUGUCUCUAAAGAGGAUUUGAUGGACGGUUAUUGAAGGUGCUCAGCCGGGGGCUCUACUCUAGUCUCAAUCUGAGCCACCCUCAAGGAAAUCACAACCAGCUCUUAAAGACAUGUUAAGACCGAAGCUCGUGUGUAUGUUUGAGCAGAGCUCCAGACAGCUACUUAACACUGGGGGCCUCCAGGCCUUUGAUUCCUCUGCUCCUCACCUUGGUCUCUCCCCCUAUCUGGCUGGCGUUUAUCGGCCAAGACAUUGUUUAAAUCACACUCAUUUCCUAUAAACAUUUCACUUGAAAUGCCAUCUGCUCCUUCAGAAAUUCAUCUAUCACCAGCUCCGGGGUAUACUUGAGGAGCCUUGGGGUGAUGGGUCCCCAUCUCUCUCUCCUGUCCCCCAUCAUCCCUCCUCCCCUGACUCGUAUUCUCAGGUUUCACAUCAUAUGAACAACUUCCCCUCAGUGUAAUAGGGUACUUAGUUUCAGGAUUAUUUAUAACAGUUGAGAUGGCACCAGGCUAUGGGGAAAGCCCAGCCCAUGGACACUUUCUCUUGCAAAGCUCAAUAAAUGAACCUGGAACAGUUUACCACCUGCUGUCUCAGCCUCUUCUGUGAGUCCUGCUGGCUUCAGGAAGACAUAGGGGGAUGGGGGAACAGGGGUCUGGACCGGGUCAAGGCUGUCCUCAGAGUUUAAGAUGCUUAUAAAUUAAGUCCCAAAUAAAGACCUCCUCACUGUACCUCUGUUCCCCAUAUCUCUCAUUUCUGGCCAGGCAUUCCCCUGCCUCAGAUGAGCUGCUCUUGGGUCUUGUUCUUCAGCAGAGAACCUGCUACAUCCCAGGAAAGCUGGCAUCAUUCUGCUACCUCAGUGGCAGAGCUGGGAGUCCCACUGAGGAAGGCAUCUGCUCUGGACCAGAAUGGGGGUUCAGGAGGCUUGGGGGUGGGGGAGUUCUUUCCAGGAAAAGUUUGAAUUGCCCAAACUCAGGCUACAGUGGAAGUGGGGGGUGGGGGCAGGUGAUGGUGGUGGAUAAAUUCGCUUCCUAAAGACUGAAAGCUUUCCGACCAUUCUCCUCUUCCCC